rnacentral:tRNA from 1 species
GGGGCAUUAGCUCAUCUGGCUAGAGUGGCAGACUGGCAGUCUGCAGGUGACCGGUUCGAGUCCGGUAUGCUCCA